CCGGCGACCGGCGCACGGGUGAGUAACACGUAUGCAACCUGCCCUCCGCAGGGGGAUAGCCCGGAGAAAUCCGGACUAAUACCGCGUGGUACACCAGUGGGGCAUCCCACGGGUGUUAAAAGGAAGCGAUUCCGGCGGAGGAUGGGCAUGCGGCGCAUUAGCUUGUUGGCGGGGUAACGGCCCACCAAGGCGACGAUGCGUAGGGGUUCUGAGAGGAAGGUCCCCCACACUGGUACUGAGACACGGACCAGACUCCUACGGGAGGCAGCAG
rnacentral:rRNA from 1 species